UCCGAUAUGGUCUAGUGGCUAGGAUCCGCCGCUUUCAUGUUGAUGUCCAUCAUCGUUCAUGAGCCGGCGUGGCCCGGGUUCGAUUCCCGGUGUCGGAA